rnacentral:rRNA from 1 species
GUGGGGAAUAUUGGACAAUGGGCGCAAGCCUGAUCCAGCCAUGCCGCGUGUGUGAAGAAGGCCUUUUGGUUGUAAAGCACUUUAAGCGAGGAGGAGGCUACCGAGAUUAAUACUCUUGGAUAGUGGACGUUACUCGCAGAAUAAGCACCGGCUAACUCUGUGCCAACAGCCGCGGUAAUACAGAGGGUGCAAGCGUUAAUCGGAUUUACUGGGCGUAAAGCGCGCGUAGGUGGCCAAUUAAGUCAAAUGUGAAAUCCCCGAGCUUAACUUGGGAAUUGCAUUCGAUACUGGUUGGCUAGAGUAUGGGAGAGGAUGGUAGAAUUCCAGGUGUAGCGGUGAAAUGCGUAGAGAUCUGGAGGAAUACCGAUGGCGAAGGCAGCCAUCUGGCCUAAUACUGACACUGGGGUGCGAAAGCAUGGGGAGCAAACAGGAUUAGAAACCCGGGUAGUCC